rnacentral:rRNA from 1 species
AGUGAACGCUGGCGGUAGGCCUAACACAUGCAAGUCGAACGGCAGCACAGUAAGAGCUUGCUCUUACGGGUGGCGAGUGGCGUACGGGUGAGGAAUACAUCGGAAUCUACUUUUUCGUGGGGGAUAACGUAGGGAAACUUACGCUAAUACCGCAUACGACCUACGGGUGAAAGCAGGGGAUCUUCGGACCUUGCUCGAUUGAAUGAGCCGAUGUCGGAUUAGCUAGUUGGCGGGGUAAAGGCCCACCAAGGCGACGAUCCGUAGCUGUUCUGAGAGGAUGAUCAGCCACACUGGAACUGAGACACGGUCCAGACUCCUACGAGAGGCAGCAGUGGGGAAUAUUGGACAAUGGGCGCAAGCCUGAUCCAGCCAUACCGCGUGGGUGAAGAAGGCCUUCGGGUUGUAAAGCCCUUUUGUUGGGAAAGAAAAGCAGCAGGUUAAUACCCCGCUGUUCUGACGGUACCCAAAGAAUAAGCACCGGCUAACUUCGUG